ACGCAUGUAGCGCCUCAAAGCGUGCUUAUUAUCGCAGAAUCACCACCGCCAGUCAGUUCUUAGUCACCAUGGCGAUCUUCCUGUUGUUGACGUCCUCAGCGGCGGAAGCGACGACCACCGGAGUGCCGGUGGCGUUCCGGGAUAUGACGACACCGGAAGUGCCGUAGUUGGUGCCGGUGGCCCAGAUCGCAGGGCCAUAGAUCACCACAUUGCGAUCCCUUUGCAGGACCAAUAUAUAGUUGCCUUGGUCCCUCGAGGUGUUGGAGGCCCACAGAGCGUUGCCGUUGCUGUAGAUCACAAGGUUGCCGUCCGCCUGCAUCUUGAGGAUGCAGUUGUAGCCACGGUUGUCCGUGCCGGAGGACCACACGGCAUUACCGGAGUCGUAGAGGACCAGGUUGCAGUCUGACUGUAUAGUGAAUCUGUAGGACCCGUACGUCAGCGACUGCCCCGUGUAGAGCGUCUCGUCGGUGUAGAGAAUGUUGUCGGCAGUGCAAGACGGUAUGAGAAGGCCGAAGAUGGCCGGCAGGAGGAGGAGGAGGAGGGCGGAG
rnacentral:lncRNA from 1 species